rnacentral:tRNA from 1 species
GCCUGGGUGGCUCAGUUGGUUGAGCUUCUGACUCUUGAUUUUGGUUCAGAUCAUGAUCCCAGGGUCAUGGGAUCGAGCCCCAUGUUGGGCU